CCUGUUGCUAGAGCACCACACCACGUCUGCCGGCGGACAUCUGAUGCUUUGCUUUCUUUGAUACUUACGGAUUUACAAGUUUGUAUUUUCAAGUUACAACUGACAACACUUGGAUAGAUGUUGCUCCUGGCUGUACCCAGUAUCUACUGUACAAUUACUCUCAUAGGACUGCAGGUGGAAAUCACAUACUAUGAUUUGUGGCUGUUGGCAAGAAAGACAAAACGUACGAUGUAAACCUUGGAUCAAGUAUGGUCACUCCUGCAUGACCCUGUCAUUUUGUAAAAAAAUUCUGAACCUCCAAGUUUAGAAA